rnacentral:miRNA from 1 species
CUCCUGCGUCGGCCCGAGGCC